rnacentral:rRNA from 1 species
CAGUAGCCGCGGGAAUACGGAGGGAGCUAGCGUUGUUCGGAAUUACUGGGCGUAAAGCGCACGUAGGCGGUUUAUCAAGUCAGAGGUGAAAGCCCGGGGCUCAACCCCGGAACUGCCUUUGAAACUAGUAGACUUGAAUCUUGGAGAGGUCAGUGGAAUUCCGAGUGUAGAGGUGAAAUCCGUAGAUAUUCGGAAGAACGCCAGUGGCGAAGGCGACUGACUGGACAAGUAUUGACGCUGAGGUGCGAAAGCGUGGGGAGCAAACAGGAUUAGAUACCCCCGUAGUCCCUGUCUCUUAUAC